rnacentral:rRNA from 1 species
CGUAGGUGGCGAGCGUUGUCCGGAAUUACUGGGUGUAAAGGGCGUGUAGGCGGGGAGACAAGUCAGAUGUGAAAUACCGUGGCUUAACCACGGGGCUGCAUCUGAAACUGUUUUUCUUGAGUGUCGGAGAGGAAAGUGGAAUUCCCAGUGUAGCGGUGAAAUGCGUAGAUAUUGGGAGGAACACCAGUGGCGAAGGCGACUUUCUGGACGAUAACUGACGCUGAGGCGCGAAAGCGUGGGGAGCAAACAGGAUUAGAUACCCUGGUAGUCCACGCUGUAAACGAUGGAUACUAGGUGUGGGAGGUAUCGACCCCUUCCGUGCCGCAGUUAACACAAUAAGUAUCCCACCUGGGGAGUACGGCCGCAAGGUUG